rnacentral:rRNA from 1 species
UACAGGGGGUGCAAACGUUGCUCGGAAUCAUUGGGCGUAAAGCGCGCGUAGGCGGUUACUCAAGUCGGAUGUGAAAGCCCUCGGCUUAACUGAGGAAGUGCACCCGAAACUGAGUAGCUAGAGUACUAAAGAGGGUCGCGGAAUUCCCGGUGUAGAGGUGAAAUUCGUAGAUAUCGGGAGGAACACCGGUGGCGAAGGCGGCGACCUGGGUAGAUACUGACGCUGAGGCGCGAAAGCGUGGGGAGCAAACAGG